UCCAGGAAGAGGCCCCAGCAAGGGCAAAGGCUCCGAGCGAGGCUCGGGCUACCCGGCAUAUCUGAGGAGUGGGAAUGAGACCCAAAUGGUUGGAGCCAGAGGGCCAAGAGGAGGAGACUGGACGUGAGGUUCCCUGCCCUCUGAACUCAGCUGCCUCAGUCUCCCCAGCCUCUCAGCUCCACCUCUUCAGCUCAGAGUGCAUCCUGCUUCUCCUGGGUUCUCCCUCCCCAAACAUGUUGACUUUGAGAUGCCUCUUAACCAUCCCAGAGGAGAUUCCUUGAAAUGUUUUCUGGAAGAAUCCCUCCUGACACCCCAGACUUCUCGUGUUCAAGAAUCACUUCUGCUUCUAGCCUGGAAGUGGACAAAGAUGGAGAGAGAUUGGAGAUGAGCAAAAUGAAAGCAAAGCAAAGUGUUCCAUCUUCAAGAAGGGUCCCCAGAGUUAUGCAGCUUCCCAGUUCUGGGUGGAACCCAGAAGCUAUUGCCUCUGAGCAGAGGGCUGGAUGAGCCGAUGCGUGUGAAGCCCUUAACAACAGUGUCGGGCGCCAGGAUGCCUAACCGCUUUACUCGCAAGUCGGGGAAAAGGAAGGCAAGUAGAACCAAGGACAUCUUUUCCUUUUUGAGACAACACAGCUGCCCAGAAAACUCCCAGCGAUCUCCUUCACCGGCCUGAACUGUGUUACAUGGCCAAGUUGCAAGGGAGACCAGGGAAGGCUCCAGAAUGGAGGUGGACCAGUCUCUAAGGGUCAGCCUCUCCUGCCCGUGAUGAAGCCAGUCACAUUUGCAAAGGAAAAGGAGAAACCAACGGUGCCCUGAUGUCUGUCAGAUGCCAAUGGCCCUACAGCUCGUUUCCUGUUUUAACCAGAGCUCUCGUGUGAAGGAAAUAACAGCGAUCCCGCCUCCUCUGAGCCCUGGAACUCGGAGACUAGAAAGCCCGUUUCCUGGUCUUGCAAAAAAAACGACAGCUCCCUCCGCCUAGCUGGAAACGCCUUCCACCUGCUCCCUCGUGGAAACUGCUAGCGGCUGGGGCCCGGGGGCACCCCUCCUCCGGCUGACUAGCCGGAAGCCCGCUCCCCCAUCAGGCUGCAUAGACGCGCCCCAACCCCUUCCCAAGCACAAGGGUCCGAGCACGCAGGCCGGCGAGCUGGAGAAGCAGAAGCAGUGGCUGCCUAUGGUUUUAUUUUUA